UACGAAGGGGGCUAGCGUUGCUCGGAAUUACUGGGCGUAAAGCGCACGUAGGCGGCUCUUUAAGUCGGGGGUGAAAUCCUGGAGCUCAACUCCAGAACUGCCUUCGAUACUGGAGAGCUUGAGUUCGGGAGAGGUGAGUGGAACUGCGAGUGUAAGAUGGUGAAAUUCGGUAGAAUUAUUGCAAGAACACCAGUGGCGAAAGG
rnacentral:rRNA from 1 species